rnacentral:hammerhead_ribozyme from 1 species
AUGCAGCUGAUGAGUCCCGAAUAGGAUGAAACACGCGUUCUGGAU